CAGGUAGUGUCGCAGUGAGCUCCGGGAAACUUGAGCCGAGUCUUCACGACUUAAACCUGUUGAGUUGAUUUUUGGGGUUCUUCGCCUCCUCUUUGGGUGUCUAGUCAAGCCGAGCUAAUUCUCCUGCCUGAGAGCGGCAACUUUUUCCAAGCAAACAUCGAAGAGUUGGUCUCUCUGUGAGAGGAGGGAAGAGGAAGACAUAUCUAUGAGGCAGCAGCCAGCAGCCACAUCCAGGCAACAUGAUGCCUCUUUCUGGCUCACUUGACCACACCUGGGAAGGACAGGGCCUGCAGCCCUGGUGUAUAAUGCUGAUGAUUAACUAAAUAGAGGCUGCAGCAGUCUGUGAGAGCAGGUCAGCUUGGCUUUCUCAUUUCAUGGGCCCUGACUGACUGACCGGGAAGAAGCUGAACUGUUCGCAGGCGCUGGCUGCUAAAAAUUCAAGACCUUUUUUACCCCCCACCCCCCUUUACUCACUUUGUUUUGUUGCAUUCUUUCCUUUUGGGUUCCUUUUCACGACGGUAAGGUUACAGGUACAUUCUUAACCUUUUUUCACUGCCUGUUCUUUUCCCUCCCUUAUGCUCUCUCUCUCUACCUUUCUCAUUCACUCACACUUCCAUUUAGCUCAUUUGCAGGAUGACUGGAAACCUAUUCUUUCCCUCUGAACACAGGAUUGUCUUGAUUCUAGUUUUGUUUCAGGUUUAGAGAAAAAAAGAGCAAAAAAAUUGUUAACAUUAAUAGAUAUCAAUAUUAGUAUAACUAUUGCUGACUUACUGUAUCAAGUCUCAAUAAAAUUAGAACGAGUUAUAGCAGUUA